rnacentral:rRNA from 1 species
UACGGAGGAUCCAAGCGUUAUCCGGAUUUAUUGGGUUUAAAGGGUGCGUAGGCGGCCAGUUAAGUCAGGUGUGAAAGACGGUAGCUCAACUAUCGCAGUGCCUUUGAUACUGAUUGGCUUGAAUGUACUUGAGGUAGGCGGAAUGUGACAAGUAGCGGUGAAAUGCAUAGAUAUGAGGCAGAACACCAAUGGCGAAGGCAGCUUACUAAAGUAUGAUUGACGCUGAGGCACGAAAGCGUGGGGAGCAAACAGG